AGUUAGUUCGAAAGGAGAAAGGCGUAUGAGAAAGACGAUUGAUUCUAAGGAAAGUUUUCGGUGUGAAAGGAGCUUAAUUUAAAGGUUGGAGCAGCAGCGUGGUCUUGAGGCGCAGCUUGCCGUGGCCAGAGCUUCAGUUCGAUGUUUACGCUCGUACUUUAAACAUUUUUCUUGUCUGCUGCUGCUGCUGUUGCUUGUUGUCCGUGUUCACCAGGUGUUUCUUUUCCUUUUUUUUUCUCUAUUUUAUUAUUAUUAUUUCAUUUAUCGAUCGUUAAUAUUAAUAAUAAUAACGAGAAGUGUUUGAUACAAAGUUCAUUUAAAUUCGAAUUAUUUUUCUAAUAUUUUGUGUGUUUGACAAGUGGACACUGGUUUUAUUUUUGCAAAUUCGAUACCGAACGAUCUACUUCUCUAAUUUCAAAGAACUAAACACGAAGAAGAAGAAGAAGUAGAAGAAGAAUAGAUUCAUAGAAACGUCAUCUACUUUAGAGUGCACUGCAAAAAAGAAAAAAGAAAAAAGAAAAAAGAAAAAA